rnacentral:lncRNA from 1 species
ACUGUAGAUACAGGGAAAACAAAUAAUAAAAGGGAUGGAAACAUCAGAGUCGGGCCUUGAAUUGAGUGAAAGAGCAUCCAUUGAGCCCUCUGAGCUCACAGCCAGAAUACGGAAUGCUGUUCCCAAGGCAGCUCCCAAGGAGCUCCUUGCACAUCAGAGCCCCAGAAGAGAAGAACCUCACAGCCCACCCAGAGAUGAGAUGAGAUAUGCACAGAGCAGAGGGGACCCGGUCUUCCCCGCCUUCACCUUGUGCCCCGUUCCCCAGCCACACCACAAAGAUGUCAUGGGCAGUGAACACAGUUUUCCCUUCCUGCAUGCCUACAAAGGUAACAAAGCCAAAAAUGUGAUGGAGAAGCAUGCGUGUUUGCUAUUUGAGUACAUAGGGGCCACUCACAGCAUUCGAGCAGCUACUUCUCCCACAAAGGGCGACCACAUGUGA